GUGAGGAGGGCUGCAGGAUAGACUCCAUCAAAGAGCUCCACAACUGCAGGAAGACCCAGGCAAGCCAAGCCACCCCAGCAUAGGUGCCUACUGCAAGACAGCAGCAGCUCCAGACCUGAGAACACAAACUACAAGGUGAGGUACCAUGUGAUCUUUCUCCAGCAGCCCAGAACUACAUCUGUUCAUAUCAGGUAUGGCACUGAUGACAGAUCAAAAGAACAAUUCCACCUAAGUCUUGCUAGUGGACUGUAGAGUUUAUUGGGGUUGCAUCACUGAAAAACCUACCCAGUGUGAGCAUG
rnacentral:lncRNA from 1 species